CAAUAGCGUAUAUUAAAGUUGUUGCAGUUAAAAGCUCGUAGUUGGAUCUCGGAUCCGGGCGAAUGGUCCGCCUCGCGGCGGUUUACUGUUCGAUGGCGUCGGUUGGGCGGCCUCUUCGGGGGUUCGUUUGGUCGGCGUCGUUCCCGGUCUCUCACCCUCUGGACGCCCGUCGGUGCUCUUGACUGCAGUGCCGGCGGCGGCCAGGACGUUUACUUUGAAAAAUUAGAGUGUUCCAAGCAGGCGCGUUCCGCCCGAAUAAUGGUGCAUGGAAUAAUAGAAUAGGACCUCGGUUCUAUUUUGUUGGUUUUCGGAACUAGAGGUAAUGAUUAAGAGGGACAGACGGGGGCAUUCGUAUUGCGGUGUUAGAGGUGAAAUUCUUGGAUCGCCGCAAGACGAACUACUGCGAAAGCAUUUGCCAAGAAUGUUUUCAUUAAUCAAGAACGAAAGUCAGAGGUUCGAAGACGAUUAGAUACCGU
rnacentral:rRNA from 1 species